UCAUCCAUCCAUCCAUCCAUCCAUCUUUUUAUUAAAUUAUCCUUCCAUCCAUUCAUCCAACCACCCAUCCAUCAAUGUUUUCAUUUAUUAAUCUAUUCUUCCAUCCAUCCAUCCAUCUCUUUUAUUAAAUUAUCCUUCCAUCCAUUCAUCCAACCACCCAUCCAUCAAUGUUUUCGUUUAUUAAUCUAUUCUUCAUCCAUCCAUCCAUCCAUCCAUCCAUCCAUCCAUCUUUUAUUAAAUUAUCCUUCCAUCCAUUCGUCCAACCACCCAUCCAUCAAUGUUUUCGUUUAUUAAUCUAUUCUUCCAUCCAUCCAUCCAUCCAUCCAUCCAUCCAUCCAUCCAUCCAUAUUUAUUAAAUUAUCCUUCCAUCCAUUUGUCCAUCCUCCCAUCCAUCAAUGUAUUCAUUUAGUAAUCUAUUCGUCCACCCAUCCAUCCAUCCAUCCAUUUGUCCACCCAUCCAUACAUCUAUUUAUUAAAUGAUCCUUCCAUCCAUUUGUCCAUCCAUCCAUCCAUCCAUCCAUCCAUCAAUGUAGUCAUUUAUUAAUCUAUUUGUCCACCCAUCCAUCCAUCAAUUCGUCCAUCCAUUAAAGUAAUCUUUUAUCUGUCAAUUCAAAUGUCUAUUUAUGAAUCUAUUCCCCCAUCCAUCCUUCUAUCCAUCCAGCCAUACAUACAGUACUGUGCAAAAGUUUUAAGGACGUGCAAAGAAACGGUGUCGAGUAAAGAUGCCUUCAAAAAUAAUGAAAUGAAAUGUUUCUACGUGAAGAAAAAUAACAGAGCAGUAAACGGUAGUUCAUGAAACAAAGUCAAUAUUUGGUGUGACAAAAAAAUAAAUAAAAAUAACAAUAUAAAUUAGUAGUCUCCAGAACAAUUAGUGUAGUUUUAUAAGGAAAUGAGCUGUAUGUCUUACUGAGCAUCUUCCACAACCAGACACGGUUCUUCCGCAGACUUUGUCUGUCGCACUCGCUUCUUAUUUUUGCAGCGAAACCCAGCAGUGUUCAUUCUGUUUUUUUGUCUGAAAAGCGUCUCUUACAUAAUAUCCUGCAUCUUUCUUUACUAGCAUUUAAUUUUGUGCUAGAAAACGAAUGUUUGGGAAUCUAAAAUGUUUGUGUACUGACUCGAUAAUGUAGAAGUCAUAACAUAAAAAUAUUCUAUAACAAAGAUCGUACUAAAAAAAAAAAAAAAAAAAUUAAAAAAUAGGGUGCCUAAAAUUUUGCACAGUAAUGUACAUCAAACAAUACUUCCAUCCAUCCAUCCAUUUAUCCACCAAACUACCCUUCCAUCUAUCCAUCCAAAUAUCUAUUUAUAAAUCCAUUCAUCCUUCCAUCCACCCAUCCAUCCAAGCAUUAAAUUAUCCUUUGCUCUAUCCGCCCAUAUAUUAUUUUAUUAAUUAUUAAUUUUAUUAAUCUAUUCUUCCUUCCAUCCACUCAUCCUCCACUCAUUUAAACUACCUUCACGUCUAUCCAUCCAUAUAUUCAUUUAUUAAUCGAUUCUUCCGUCGAUCGAUCAAUCCCUCCACCCUUUAAACUAUUCUUCAGUCUAUCUAUCCAAACAUCCAUUAUUAAUCCAUCCAUCCAUCCAUUAAACUAUUCUAUAUCUAUGACAGUGUGUAUCUAUCCAUCCAUCAAUUCAUUAAUCCAUUUAUUAGUCCAUCAAUCUAUUAAACCAUCUAUUUAUCAAGUAGUACUUCCACUCAUCCAUCUAUCAUUCGAGCCAUAAAUCCAUGUAUCCCUUCGUCAAUGCAUACAUACAGGCAUCCAUCCAUUCAUCAUCCAUCCAUCCAUCCAUCCAUCCCUCUCUCUGUGCGCCCAU
ensembl:lncRNA